rnacentral:rRNA from 1 species
UAGGGAAUCUUCGGCAAUGGACGAAAGUCUGACCGAGCAACGCCGCGGGAGUGAAGAAGGUUUUCGGAUCGUAAAACUCUGUUGUUAGAGAAGAACAAGGACGUUAGUAACUGAACGUCCCCUGACGGUAUCUAACCAGAAAGCCACGGCUAACUACGUGCCAGCAGCCGCGGUAAUACGUAGGUUGCAAGCGUUGUCCGGAUUUAUUGGGCGUAAAGCGAGCGCAGGCGGUUUCUUAAGUCUGAUGUGAAAGCCCCCGGCUCAACCGGGGAGGGUCAUUGGAAACUGGGAGACUUGAGUGCAGAAGAGGAGAGUGGAAUUCCAUGUGUGGCGGUGAAAUGCGUAGAUAUAUGGAGGAACACCAGUGGCGAAGGCGGCUCUCUGGUCUGUAACUGACGCUGAGGCUCGAAAGCGUGGGGAGCAAACAGG